UAUGGUCACAUCAUAUUGAAACGCCGGUUCCCGUACGAUCACCGAAGUUAAGUAACGUCGGGCCUGGUCACUAGCUAGAUUGGUGACCGCUUAUGAACACCAGGUACCG